GAUGAACGCUGGCGGCGUGCUUAACACAUGCAAGUCGAACGAAGCAUUUAAAACAGAUUAUUUCGGUAUGAAGUUUUUUAUGACUGAGUGGCGGACGGGUGAGUAACGCGUGGGUAACCUGCCUUGUACUGGGGGAUAGCAGCUGGAAACGGCUGGUAAUACCGCAUAAGCGCACGGUGCUGCAUGGCACAGUGUGAAAAACUCCGGUGGUAUAAGAUGGACCCGCGUCUGAUUAGCUAGUUGGUGAGUUAACAGCCCACCAAGGCGACGAUCAGUAGCCGACCUGAGAGGGUGACCGGCCACAUUGGGACUGAGACACGGCCCAGACUCCUACGGGAGGCAGCAGUGGGGAAUAUUGCACAAUGGAGGAAACUCUGAUGCAGCGACGCCGCGUGAGUGAAGAAGUAAUUCGUUAUGUAAAGCUCUACCAGCAGGGAAGAUAGUGACGGUACCUGACUAAGAAGCUCCGGCUAAAUACGCGCCAGCAGCCGCCGUAAGAC
rnacentral:rRNA from 1 species